rnacentral:piRNA from 1 species
UGCAAAGCCUUUUCUGAAUUUGUCGGUGU